GCCCUGGUAGCUCAAUUGGCUAGAGCGUGGGACUUUUACGACCAUUUCAGUCCAUCCCAAGGUUGCGGGUUCGACCCCCGCCUGGGGCG